ensembl:ncRNA T07F10.10 ncRNA
UAUUGAAGCGAUGAGCCAAAACAGUUUCCGGCCGUUCUAUCUUUUUUCUUUCUUUCCGCCAAGGCCGACCAUUAUUGUCUCCGGACGAUUCCUCCCCCAAAAAAAGAGAAAAAGAGUGUAGGUCGCGGAGG